rnacentral:rRNA from 1 species
GAUGAACGCUGGCGGCGUGCUUAACACAUGCAAGUCGAACGGUGAAGCAGAGCUUGCUCAGUGGAUCAGUGGCGAACGGGUGAGUAACACGUGAGCAAUCUGCCCCUGACUCUGGGAUAAGCGCUGGAAACGGCGUCUAAUACCGGAUACGAGCUGCGAAGGCAUCUUCAGCAGCUGGGAAGAAUUUCGGUCAGGGAUGAGCUCGCGGCCUAUCAGCUUGUUGGUGAGGUAACGGCUCACCAAGGCGUCGACGGGUAGCCGGCCUGAGAGGGUGACCGGCCACACUGGGACUGAGACACGGCCCAGACUCCUACGGGGGGCAGCAGUGGGGAAUAUUGCACAAUGGGCGAAAGCCUGAUGCAGCAACGCCGCGUGAGGGACGACGGCCUUCGGGUUGUAAACCUCUUUUAGCAGGAAAGAAGCGAAAGUGACGGUACCUGCAGAAAAAGCGCCGGCUAACUACGUGCCAGCCGCCGCUGUAAAAC